AUCUCCUGUCCCUUCCAAUAUUUUUAUCCAGGUGAAAACAGGUAUGAGGAAUAUGAACAGCCUUGAAGGAGAAGCAGUUCAUCCUAGGGCAGACAGAAGAGCAGGACCUAGCACUAUACCUGAUAUACAGCUCGUGAUCAGUAAAUUUUUCGGGAAAGAAGGAAUGAAGGAUGGAAGGAAGGAAGAAAGGAAGGGAGAAAGACAUCCUCCUGUGUAUGGAGAAAAAGUAAAUCACUUUGCCAACUACUUAGCCACAUUAUUUUAUUUAGGUAGACAGAAUAUGAGUAGAGAGUCAAACUUGGCUUGUUACUAAGUAUGUGACUUUGGUAAGAUUUUAGCUGUCUUUGUCUCAAUUUGUUCAUCCCUAAAACAAGAAAAUAGUUGAGGG
rnacentral:lncRNA from 1 species